rnacentral:misc_RNA from 1 species
ACCAGUACUGUAUGGCAUGACCUAUAAAAACAGCAUCAAAACAUUAAAUCUACAGCUGGUUUAAAGAAACAAUCCAGCAUAAUCUCAAUAAGUAACAAUUGUCCGUUCCAAGACUUUAUGGUUGUAUGCAACACCAACUGCGAAAAAUGGAAACAGAGGAAGCAGAAUCGAUACUGUAACAACAUUAAAUCUCCAGUGACUAGCUCAAAUCACAAAGCCACUAACCUUGAAACCCUUAUAGACAAGA